rnacentral:rRNA from 1 species
GUACGGCGAGUGAGCGGCGAAAGCUCAAAUUUGAAAUCUGGUACCUUCGGUGCCCGAGUUGUAAUUUGGAGAGGGCAACUUUGGGGCCGUUCCUUGUCUAUGUUCCUUGGAACAGGACGUCAUAGAGGGUGAGAAUCCCGUGUGGCGAGGAGUGCGGUUCUUUGUAAAGUGCCUUCGAAGAGUCGAGUUGUUUGGGAAUGCAGCUCUAAGUGGGUGGUAAAUUCCAUCUAAAGCUAAAUAUUGGCGAGAGACCGAUAGCGAACAAGUACAGUGAUGGAAAGAUGAAAAGAACUUUGAAAAGAGAGUGAAAAAGUACGUGAAAUUGUUGAAAGGGAAGGGCAUUUGAUCAGACAUGGUGUUUUGUGCCCUCUGCUCCUUGUGGGUAGGGGAAUCUCGCAUUUCACUGGGCCAGCAUCAGUUUUGGUGGCAGGAUAAAUCCAUAGGAAUGUAGCUUGCCUCGGUAAGUAUUAUAGCCUGUGGGAAUACUGCCAGCUGGGACUGAGGACUGCGACGUAAGUCAAGGAUGCUGGCAUAAUGGUUAUAUGCCGCCCGUCU